AGUGAACGCUGGCGGUAGGCCUAACACAUGCAAGUCGAACGGCAGCACAGUAAGAGCUUGCUCUUACGGGUGGCGAGUGGCGGACGGGUGAGGAAUACAUCGGAAUCUACUUUUUCGUGGGGGGUAACGUAGGGAAACUUACGCUAAUACCGCAUACGACCUACGGGUGAAAGCAGGGGAUCUUGGACCUUGCGCGAUUGAAUGAGCCGAUGUCGGAUUAGCUAGUUGGCGGGGUAAAGGCCCACCAAGGCGACGAUCCGUAGCUGGUCUGAGAGGAUGAUCAGCCACACUGGAACUGAGACACGGUCCAGACUCCUACGGGAGGCAGCAGUGGGGAAUAUUGGACAAUGGGCGCAAGCCUGAUCCAGCCAUACCGCGUGGGUGAAGAAGGCCUUCGGGUUGUAAAGCCCUUUUGUUGGGAAAGAAAAGCAGCAGGUUAAUACCCCGCUGUUCUGACGGUACCCAAAGAAUAAGCACCGGCUAACUUCGUG
rnacentral:rRNA from 1 species